rnacentral:rRNA from 1 species
UACGGAGGAUGCGAGCGUUAUCCGGAUUUAUUGGGUUUAAAGGGUGCGUAGGCGGAUGGAUAAGUCAGUGGUGAAAUUCUGCAGCUUAACUGUAAAAGUGCCUUCGAAACUGGUUUCCUUGAGUGUAGAUGAAGUAGGCGGAAUUUGUGGUGUAGCGGUGAAAUGCUUAGAUAUCACGAGGAACUCCGAUUGCGCAGGCAGCUUACUAAACUACUACUGACGCUCAGGCACGAAGGCGUGGGGAUCAAACAGGAUUAGAUACCCCU